AGCUGAGGGUGCGUUCUAAACUCCCCAAGAUCCUAUUGUGUGGAAAGAACUGGGAAUAUGACUUGUAAUAGACAAGUAGAGUCAAGAACCCCAUAGUAAUGGAUGGAAGUGGAAGCAGAGCAUGAUUAGAGAAAGAGGUGCAGAAGCAGCUUUAAGUUCUUGCUGUGUUGCUCAGGCUGGCCUUGAACUCCUGUGCUCAGCAAAAAGCUAAUUAGAGACUUGAGAAGAGUACCCUAUUCCUUGAUUGCUGGAGAAGACAUAUUAUUACAACAAGGCUGGAAUUUUUUUACCCUUCUCAGCAGCUUUACUGAAAAAAUACAUCACAUUCUACUAGUUGGGGAAAGAAGCAUGCAAGUGGUGAAGAUAGUAUUUGAGGCCAGCAACCCUGAAUUUAUCCUCCAAGUCUCAUCUGCAGAAGAGUCCACAGCAGUCUCUCCUGAACUUCUGCUGUUCUUGGCUGAAUAGAUCUGAUCUGUUGUGUCUCCUGAGACAUCAUCCAGUGCUUCCUGCUCGGACAUGGGGAAAACAUCAAGAAGAACGAUGUGCCCCAUAGGUGGUAACUUCAGAACUAAAUGAAAUGGCCAAGCUGAGACACCUGUGUCACUCGUUUUAUUGCCCAUGGCUUUUUAUAUUUUUACUUUAAUAAAUAUUAUGUAGUUCCACUUUGCAAAGUUCAAAUUUAAGGCACAUUUUCUGUGACUAAUAGUUCCCUUCCCUUACCAAUUCAGAUAUUCCAAAAUAAAGACUGACUGCAUUUCUUUUGUUCCUUUUUUCCU